GACAGAGGGUGCAAACGUUGUUCGGAAUUACUGGGCGUAAAGCGCGUGUAGGCGGCCCUGCAAGUCGGGUGUGAAAUCCCACGGCUCAACCGUGGAAGUGCGUCUGAUACUGGAUGGCUUGAGUUUGGGAGAGGGAUGCGGAAUUCCAGGUGUAGCGGUGAAAUGCGUAGAUAUCAGGAGGAACACCUAUUGCGAAGGCAGCUCGCUGGGACGUAACUGACGCUGAGACGCGAAAGCGUGGGGAGCAAACAGG
rnacentral:rRNA from 1 species